GAUCACUGGGGUUCGUCUCCUGUCCCCUUUCAGUUUACCUCCCUCCCCUCCAUGGGUCGCUGGGCAGACAGCCUUCCAGAAAAGCCUCUUCUUAUACUGCACUUGGGAGCAUCGGCAAGAUUAACACCAACACCUAUGUCAUUAGUCUGUUAGGAAGCAUCUGUUAAGAGAGAGUGCAUAAUGCAGCAUGUGCUCUGCUUUAUUUUGGCUUAUCCCUUUAAAACUUUUAAUUAAUCUUCUGCUCAUUAAGGCUAAGUAGGCAGCAAGGCGAAUCACUGAGGAAGACGCAUGGCUAAUCCGCUAAUAGGCUUCUAUCACGUUUUUAGGUCAUUCUGAUCUCUCUUCAUUUAAAUCUCUUGUACUAGAUCAAGUGGGAAAGGUAACAGACACAGUUGUUCAGAUUUUUGACUUGAUCUUGAACUGAAACUCUGAAAGUCUUCAACGCAACAUCCUGAAAACAUCCACCUCAGAAGUUCUGAAUGGUUCCAACUAAUAUUUUAUUUUAGUGAGCGGUAAGCAGUUACAGGUAAUCGCUUGGAUAGUAGGACAUCUCUCUUUGGACCCAACUUUGGAUGUAAUUAACACUGGACUGCUACAGAACUGACCACCAAACUCAAAGCCAUUGUCAGUCACGUUCUCACCAUUUAAUCAGGCAGGGUCGCCGGAGUCUGAGGCCUAUGGCGGAAGCUUCUGGAACAGGGCAGGGAAUAACCCAGGAUCCACCGCAGAGCACACAUAGUCACACCUACGGAUAUUUGGUAACUCCAAUUCCCGCAUGGUUUUUGGACUGUGGAGGAUCACCAGAGAACCUGGAGGAAACCCCAAGCAGAUAUGGGGAGAAC